CCUACGGGAGACAGCAGUGAGGAAUAUUGGUCAAUGGGCGCAAGCCUGAACCAGCCAAGUCGCGUGAGGGAUGACGGUCCUAUGGAUUGUAAACCUCUUUUGUCGGGGAGCAAGGCCCGCCACGUGUGGCGGGACGUAGAGUACCCGAAGAAAAAGCAUCGGCUAACUCCGUGCCAGCAGCCGCGGUAAUACGGAGGAUCCGAGCGUUAUCCGGAUUUAUUGGGUUUAAAGGGAGCGUAGAUGGGUUGUUAAGUCAGUUGUGAAAGUUUGCGGCUCAACCGUAAAAUUGCAAUUGAUACUGGCAGUCUUGAGUACAGGUGAGGUAGGCGGAAUUCGUGGUGUAGCGGUGAAAUGCUUAGAUAUCACGAAGAACCCCGAUUGCGAAGGCAGCUUACUAAACUGUGACUGACAUUGAUGCUCGAAAGUGUGGGUAUCAAACAGGAUUAGAUACCCGAGUAGUC
rnacentral:rRNA from 1 species